rnacentral:rRNA from 1 species
GACGAACGCUGGCGGCGUGCUUAACACAUGCAAGUCGAACGGAAAGGCCCUGCUUUUGUUGGGUGCUCGAGUGGCGAACGGGUGAGUAACACGUGAGUAACCUGCCCUUGACUUUGGGAUAACUUCAGGAAACUGGGGCUAAUACCGGAUAGGAGCUCCUGCUGCCUGGUGGGGGUUGGAAAGUUUCGGCGGUUGGGGAUGGACUCGCGGCUUAUCAGCUUGUUGGGGGGGUAGUGGCUUACCAAGUCUUUGACGGGUAGCCGGCCUGAGAGGGUGACCGGCCACAUUGGGACUGAGAUACGGCCCAGACUCCUACGGGAGGCAGCAGUGGGGAAUAUUGCACAAUGGGCGGAAGCCUGAGGCAGCAACGCCGCGUGCGGGAUGACGGCCUUCGGGUUGUAAACCGCUUUCGCCUGUGACGAAGCGUGAGUGACGGUAAUGGGUAAAGAAGCACCGGCUAACUACGUG